rnacentral:tRNA from 1 species
UGGUAAUUAGUUUAAAACAAAAACAAAAUGAUUUUCGACUCAUUAGAUUAUGGAUCCACAUAAUUAUCAU